GAUGAAGAACGUAGCGAAAUGCGAUACUUGGUGUGAAUUGCAGAAUCCCGUGAACCAUCGAGUCUUUGAACGCAAGUUGCGCCCGAAGCCAUUAGGCCGAGGGCACGCCUGCCUGGGCGUCACACGUCGUUGCCCCCCCAUCUACUCCUUCGGGAUUGCGGGGGGCGGAUGAUGGCCUCCCGUGCGCCUCGUCGCGCGGUUGGCCUAAAUGUCAAGUCCUCGGCGACGCACGCCACGACAAUCGGUGGUUGCGAAACCUCGGUUGCCUGUCGUGUGCGGUCGUCGCGCAUCGAGGGCUCGAAAAAAUUGCCGGGCUUCGGCUCGACUUUCAACGCGACCCCAGGUCAGGCGGGGUUACCCGCUGAAUUUAAGCAUAUCAAUAAGCGGAGGA
rnacentral:misc_RNA from 1 species